UUAGAUACUGUUGCUAAGGGUUUAUGCACGAGCACUUAUACAUAAGUUAAUUUGAUAGAUUUAUUGAAACAAGGUUAAAAUAAAUUAUAUGACACUUAUUUAAUACAGUAGUUUUACAGGGUGUGGUGGAGAAGUGAAUUUGAAAAUUCUAAUUCAGGCACACUAUUAACUUACUUUCUUAGGAGAGAUGGUUCAUAAAUAUCAAAUAGUGUUAUGUCUACAGUCUAUAGAUGAGUUGGGUACUGGCAUCAGCAGUACAAAUUUAAGCCUUUGGGGCAUUCUUGAGAUGGCCAGCUGCUAACCGCCUCCCACAUAGAUAUAAUAAGCUAUUCCCAACAUGGUGAGUUAGAGCCUAUUUAGAUACCAAUCAGAAAGUACGAAAGUGGAAAAAUGAUACAUUUCAAAGCAUUUUUGGUUUAAAAAGAAAUUCAGAAUGUGCUAUUUUCUUAUUAUUAUACUUUCUUUUUGAUGAGUAUAUAUAUGCAUAAACCGGUUCCUAAUUAUGUAUUUUUAUAGAAAAAUAUUUUGUAAACACUCAAUUUUAUUAUACCACAUAGAGAUGAUAUUAUUAUACAACAUAGAGAUGAUAUAUGUGACAUAUAAUAUGACCAUUGGUGGAGGUAUGAAUUUGAGAUUAGGAGGGGUCAAGAACAAAGACUAUUACAUAUCUCCAAUAAUAUCUAUAACUCACAUACAUGUAUGUCAUGGCCCCCUCUCUCCGCCCCUGGAUGUGAUGUAAUAGAAAUGAUUGAUGUAAUAGGAAGAGAAAGAUAAGAGAAAAAAUGAAAUGAAUAUAUGUGUCAUUAUUGUUUAGUGUUUAAAAAUUGGAAUUAUUUUCUAUAAGCCAAAUGAAAUACAAUAACUUGUUUUGUUAGAAAGCACUAAUUAGCCUGUUGUUUGUUAAUAAUGAGUGCAGGAUUUGCGACAUCAAAAGUUGCUUGCUGUGGACAAGGUCCAUACAAUGGGCUUGGACUCUGCACUCCAGUUUCUAACCUGUGUCCAAACAGGGACUUAUAUGCAUUUUGGGAUCCCUUCCAUCCAAGCGAAAGAGCAAACAGAUUGAUCGUGGAAAGAUUCAUGAUUGGUUCCUCCGAAUACAUGCAUCCAAUGAAUCUCAGUACCAUUAUGCAUUUGGAUUCAACUUCAAGGACCUAGCUAGCUACCUACCUUAUAGUAAUUAAUUAAUACCUCUUCUUCCUGUUGGUACUGUUGUUUUCUCCAGUGAUCGACAUGCUGUGUUGUAUUAUAUAAUUAUUGUUUAGGCUAGCUAUAUCCUUAAUAAGUGUGCAAAUUACUAUAAGAAAACAUUUUAUUUCAAACUGUGAGAAUUCAUGAUAUAUAAAAUGUAUCCCUCAGUGUUGCUUUGAGAAAAAAGACAGCUAGUCCAAGUGUAUCACUUUUAUUUUUUGGUUGAAAGCUGUAAGUGAUGUAUCAUUUUCUUUUUGUCAAGAAGCUAUGUAUCAUUUGGGCGUGAGAUAAUUUGUGAGUAGAUACCAAGCCCAAAGUUCUAUCAAUGGUCUUGUACUUUGAAGCCCAUUCAUAAUUUCUGAACAAACUUAAGCAUCUGCUAGCUAUCUGAGCUGUGGUAGCCCCAAUUCCCAAAUGUCUGACCGCAGGGGUGUCCAAGUAUCAUUUUUUUAUCCAUUCAACACAUCUAUGGCUAAGCAUUACACAUAACCAGUAAACCAGCAAUGGGAUUAACAUCUUCUUUCCCAAAAUUGUGUCUCAUUCUUUGUCUCACUAAUAGGAUUAUGCCAUAUCAAUUAAAAAAACACUCAUAUAAGAUUAUAAAUGUGACAUUCAUGUAUUUUUUUAAUUGACAUGACAUAAUUUUAUAGGUUGAGACAGAGAAUAAAACGUCAUUUAGGGCACAUGGCCUCAAUCCUUAUUAAGAUACUUGAACAUAUAAAGAAGAGUGCUCACACCUCAAAAUUUUCUAUAUUUCUCUCUUCUUAUGUAUAUUAGAUUAAUUGUAUCUCUACCUUCUCUUUGGUUCUCACUCUAUUGGAUUUUGAUGUGUACACAUUAACUUUCAUAUAUAAACGAGAGAUACUAAAGGAGGGUAGCUGUGACCAAACGCCACCCAUAUUUAUGGGGAUCACAUGCAUAUAUCUCUAUGCUUUGUCCCCACCCUAAACCAAUCUUCAUUGUAGAGGAAAAAAACCUUGCUCUAUCUUUUGAUUCUGUUUAGCUCAAAAGGGAACAAUAAUGAUAAUUUGCAUAUUUUAAUUCUCAAUCAACAGAUAUGAGAGUGACAGACAGUAGAGUUUAACAGAAAAAAUAUUAAUGAUAUUAGUCAUGAGUUAUGAACUGCAAUAUCAACAACAUAACCUGGUUCUGUAUACUUCCCAGGUUACAUUACAUGUCCUUAAUGUGUUGGUUUAUUCAUGUGAUCUUCUAUAUAGCUGCCUAUUUUUGCGGUCCUAACAACAAGUUUGGUCCUCCUUUAGGUAUGUCUCAAAGAUCAACUAAAGCUAAACAAGUCAAUGAUUAUAGUGAUUGUAGUCUUUCUGAUCAAACCAUUCAAUAAGUUAAUUAAUGCUAUUUGAAUUUGAAAACCUUGGAUGGACCUUGAAUUAUAUCAAUUAUGAUCUUGAAAUUCGAUAAUGAUGAAACUGAUCUUGAUUAGCAUGGAUGCCAUUUUCAAAUGAGAUCGCAACAAACAAGUUCCAUAACUAGCUUGACAACAAAGUUGGCAGAACAUAACCCAAGCAUUCGAUCUGCCUUAUAUACAGUUCCUAGUUACACUUAGACAUCAACUGUUUUUGGAUCUACCCCCUAUUAGCUAUCUACCUUUUCAUUCUCACAUUAAUGAACUUAAAUCCUCUCUUCUCUCUUACUUUCCAAUUCCAUCUCUCAAUAAGUUACUACUCACCAAUGGAAGACUAAAAAAGGUUACACCCCUUUCAUACCAAGUAAUUAAACUUUUUUGGAACAGGGCUGAAGCAGAGGAAAUUAAGUAGACAAGGAUUUGAUUCCAAUUCUCCAUUCUUUAAUAGUCAUUAUACAAUAGAAUAAACUAAGGCCCGUUUGGAAGAACUCAUUUGAUCAUAUAUUAUAACAUAACUACUUAUGCAAGUGUUUGACAAAUGUAGCUUAUGACCUACUUAUAAGUUAUUUUGAGCUUAUUUUCAUAAUUUAUUUAGAUUAACUUAUGAGUGAAGGCUCAUGCAUAUGCAUAACACAUUUCCAGCAUAUUUCGAUAUGUUUCUCAAAUUAACUUAUGCAAUAAGCGCUUAAUUAAACUAUUUACUCAAACACAUCCUAAGUGAAUGUUUGGUUUUAUUAUUUGCCCAAAAUACAAAACCAGAAGUUAUGACUUGUAGCAUACUCAGAAGUAGUUUACAGUUUACACAAUACACGCGUACUCAGAAGUUAAGACUUGUAGCUUCUAACCAGGAGUGGUUCUGUACUAUUUACUCUGAACCCAAGCUUACUAUUAAACCGACAAUUUGGCUUUUGCUAAACAGAUAUAUGAUACAUUAUUCACACUUUCCCUGAAAUAAAGUUACUAAAAAAAGAUAGCAUUUCUGAUUCCUAUAUGUAAAACUCACGAUUAACCUAGUUACCUACAUGUAUUGAUUUGACAUGGUGGUCAAUUAAUUUGUGAACUACUAACUAUGAUAUAGUACAUGCAGCCAGUGUACCAAAUAGUUUCUCCUCAUAAUUGAACUAGGGGAGUUGAAGUAAUAGAAGUCCCAAGCUCAUGCUUAUGCUAAGAAGUGGUGGUGAAAAUAUCUGUCCAUGUUUGCUUAGUUUUGAAUUUUGAAGAAAAAUCCACCUUAUUUUAAACUCUUCUACAUAGGCGGCUAAAAAAUGAUUGAUAACCUGUACUUGCUUCUUCUUCAUUCGGCGGUUUGCUUUAACUGAAGAGAGGUGGUAGAAGAAGACAUUUAUGAAUGUAGUUUUUACUCAUAGUGAUCAUCAACCUCUUAAGCCUUAUAUAUAGACCUUCUUUCCAAUUGCUCAAUGCAAACCAUCGAGUAUUCAAACUCAGAAUAUCUUAGACAAUAUUAUAACACUCCUCAUGGCUAGUUCUUUGGGUUUUGGCUUUUGUACGAUAACAAGCUUGGUUCUUGUUCUGUUUCUGAGUUCUGUUUCUGCUCAGCACACAAGGGCUUUCUUUGUUUUUGGUGAUUCACUUGUGGACAGUGGCAACAAUGACUUUCUUGCAACCACAGCUCGUGCUGAUGCUCCACCCUAUGGCAUUGACUUCCCAACACACCGACCCACUGGACGCUUCUCUAAUGGCCUAAACAUCCCUGACCUAAUCAGUAUGAAAAUUUGUUACAAUUUUGCAAAUCAAUUCAAUCAGUUUUGACUAAUAAUACUACAUGUUAACACAUGCCUAUUUAUUUCUACCAUUACAUGCAUGCAUGGCUAUAACAUUAAUCUUAGCUCGGUUAGAAAUUUUACAUAAAUUUGUUGAGUGAAUCCAUAUUAAUGAUUUUAUAUUAUAUUUCUAACAUGUGCCUAUAACCUUGCUCAACUUUUGUUUAUAUUGCAGGUUUGGAGCUUGGUUUAGAGCCUACUCUACCAUAUUUGAGCCCUUUACUAGUUGGAGAGAAGCUUCUAAUUGGUGCCAAUUUUGCAUCUGCAGGGAUUGGCAUUCUCAAUGAUACAGGAAUUCAGUUUGUAAGCUCAAUUUGUUCAUUUACUUAUAUUGCUUAAUUCCCUUGUUUUUUUCUUGUCAGAAUGGAACUAUAUAAAAUUGAUUCAUGGGUGUUGAGAGUAACAUUAACAUUUUUUAUUUUGGUUUGGUAGCUGCACAUUAUUCACAUAGAGAAGCAACUCAAGCUCUUCCAACAGUAUCAGAAAAGAGUAAGUGCACACAUUGGCAGAGAGGGAACUCGGAACUUAGUGAACAGAGCACUUUUUCUCAUCACUCUUGGAGGCAAUGAUUUUGUCAACAAUUACUACUUGGUGCCUUAUUCAGCAAGAUCUCGCCAAUAUUCUCUCCCUGACUACGUGCGCUAUAUCAUAUCCGAGUACCGCAAAGUUCUGAGGGUAACUCUGAACUCUAAACCCUAAACUUAAUAAUUGAGUGCUAAUGUCAUAUCGCAUAUCUUACAAAUUUGAUAUGUAUAUAUUGUAUCCACAACAUAAGACUUCGAAAGUCAUUACUAAUUUGUGUCGUCAUCACCUAAUAGCUUGAGUUUUUUUGGAAUAGGUAGUUUAUGAUACAAUAGUGACAAAAUUGAAUAGGCAGUUUGUUAAGGACAUUUAAUACAAUGCAUGGGCAUCAUUAAAGGGUAAAAUGCCUAUCUGAUUAAUUAGAGUCAUGGUCAUGUUUCAAUAAGGCUAGUGAGUGUAUUGGUACAGAAGGCAUAUAUGUAUUAUGUUUUGGUCGGUGAGGUAUACAUACCAAAUUAAUUAUUUUGUUUGCCCCUUCCAAACAUGUUAUUAUUAAAUGCUGUUUCUCACAUGACAUCCCCAUCUUAGCUAUGCCUUAAUUAACAUAGGGAAACCUAUGUUUGAGAAACAUUUUUGAUAAAUAAAUGCUUGGAAAUUUAUGCAGAAGAUGUAUGAUUUGGGAGCUCGUAGGGUUCUGGUAACGGGUACAGGGCCAAUGGGGUGUGUUCCAGCAGAACUAGCUAUGAGAAGCAGAACUGGUGAUUGUGAUGUGGAACUCCAGAGAGCUGCAUCGUUGUACAAUCCACAACUCGUUAAUAUGAUCAAAGGACUCAACCAAGAGCUUGGUGCUGAUGUGUUUAUUGCUGCUAAUGCUUAUCAGAUGCACAUGGACUUCAUUUCCAACCCCAGAGCUUAUGGUAUGUGCCAUGCAACUAGCUGCCUAGAACUUUUCAAUUUAAAAUUAUAUGAUGUUUGAGAAAAAAAAUUAGUAUAUCAGUAAAAACACACACACACACACACACACACACACACACACACACACUUUUGAGCUACAAUUAGUAGCACUAAAUUUUUCAUUUAUCCUAAAUUCUCAAUUUAUCAUGUAGUCCGACCUUUCAGCCAUUUUUUUAUCAGUUCUAAAUUAUACCCUUGGCAUUAUUUAAAUUGGUUCUAGAAAUUCUAUAAUUUGCCUAAAAACAAGUUCAAUGGAUCAUGAACAUUGCUAGCAAUAUACUUUUAAGCACACUUAUUUCAACUCAUUCUCUUUUUUGUUGGAUGAGUACCUGUCCCACUAAAUCAUAUCAAUACAUUUAUUUUUAUGGGACACAUACUCUUUGUUAAAGAAUUUCAUUUAAAAAAUAUGACUUGAAGAAGCAAAUGGGUCCUCUUGGCCACACUUCUCUCUAGCAUGCCUCCAACAAAGAUGUUAACCAUUGUUACUAAGAUUGCUAAAUGAGAAAAUUAAAUUGGUCAAUAUGGAACACAAUGAAUUAUUACAUGACAGCUGCAGAUGAUUCAAAUCGAUUAAUAACGUUUUGUUAGCCUCGCUCAAUAUAAAGCUAUCAUAAUUAAUUUUAUAAUUGAUAUUAAAAACUUAUUAACUUAUUAAAAAACCACUUAAAGCAUGUUAUUUUUUUGAACUCCACUUAAAACAUGUUUAAUAAUUAAUAAAUAUCACAGACUUAAAGUGUUUUGUUUUAAAGAAAUAAAAAUUAUUUUCUUUUUAUUUUAUUGGGUCAAAUUGUUAUAAAAGUUUGAAACUAUUGCACAAGCAAAAAUGAAGCCUAAUUUCCCCUUUUGUGUGAAAAGCCCAAAAUCCCUUUAACCAUGUUGACAAACAAUACUUUUUGGGCUUUCAGGUUUUGUGACAUCAAAGAUAGCAUGCUGCGGGCAAGGCCCAUACAAUGGGAUUGGGCUGUGCACACCGGCCUCAAACCUGUGCCCAAACAGAGACAUUUACGCAUUUUGGGAUCCAUUCCAUCCAUCAGAGAGAGCAAGUAGAAUCAUUGUUCAACAGAUCCUGCGUGGCACCACUGAGUACAUGCACCCCAUGAAUCUCUCCACUAUCAUGGCCCUUGAUUCCAGGACUUAAUCUCAAUUAGGUUCUUGCUUUUUCUCACUACUAGUAUCUAAGCUUAGUUGUGUUCUAUUCUAUUAUCCAUGUGUGUGUGUGCGCGCGCUUUAUUUAUGCGUUCUUUUGAGUUUUGAUGAUCUCCUAGCUAGCUAGUGGUUUGGAGUGCAUUGGGUGCAACGAAAUAAUGCACCGGUUUGUAGUUUGUCAUAUGAUCUUGUGUUGCCAAUAAUAAAAAUGUCUAUCUUUCAAUUGUUAUUUUGUGAAGAUUGAUUGAUGGUAUAUUUCAAUUUAACUUUUAUUUUUUGAGAUAUUUUUAUAAAUAUUUCUUUCAAUAUAGGCUAUUGAUUAUAAAUAUUUGGGAGAGUUUGAGAAAAUGUAUUGAUUAAGAACUAAAUAAUUCAAUAGCCAUCCUCUUAUGUAAAAUGCAGCUUCUAUUUUUUUUCUUUCUUUUCUAUGGAAUUAUUGUGGAAUAUUGAAGUAAGAGAUAGGGACCUAUAGAAUGAAUGACGAUCACUUUCUUUGUUUGGUUUUAUAUGAAGAAAAUGGGAGAGGAGGGUCUAGGCCCCAAAUUUGAGCUUUUUGACGUGGAAAGAAAAAAAACAUUUGGACAAUAUAUAAAUGUUUUGGUCCAAAAAUUGUCCUAAUCUCAUCAUAAAUAAGUAGAAGCAAUUUCAUAAUUCUAUCUGUUAUACCUUUUUUUAUUGCAUCACUUAAUCUAAAUAGCUUAAAACCUCAUAAUUUUAUCCUUAUUUUGUCUUCUUUGACAUCUUUAUCAUAUUUAUUCUCCUUCUUGACUUCUAAAUUUAAACAAGGAGGAGCAUUUUUGUGUGAAGACAUGCAAGCACAAAGACAUUGCAUAACCCCCUCUCCCUGCCUCCAGAAAAAAAAUGCAUUGAAGAGCCAACCAUAGAGGGUGGCAACUAUAAGAAACUUCGCUGAAAUAAAUAUCUAUGGGCCAUGUCAGUUUCUUUAUAUGACAUUAACGCAGCCUCCAAAUGCGAUAUACGGAUUAGAUUAAAUUCAAUUUAGCCAAAUUGCAAUUUUUAGCUUCAUCAUUGUUUUGCAAAAAUGAGCAAAUCACAAAUUAUUAUUUAUUUUUCAGAAAAUCUAGACCACGUCAUGUUUCGUAACACUUUCACAAUGUGCGUCAUUAGUGUCAAACAGCUUAUACAAUAUUAACACUGUCAUCAUGGCCAUCACUAACCCGCUUAAGUGACGUAGUAUGAUUUAACAGAAAUUCAAACAUAUAAAAUCGAGGAAGUGUGUGAUAUGAGGCAUGAGUUUUGAGUUCAAGUUCAUGGCUUAAUUUGAUCAAAUUUACUAAAUGAAUAGCCGAAAAAGUUGGUUGAAAAAGAUCAAUUAUGUACGUGUAGAUCAAAUUAACACUAUAUCGUGGUGAAGGGGUCAAGGGGGGGUGUUAGUUGAACGGUUUCUUCAGCCAAUUAUGUGAUAUCAAGGGUAUUAGGUGUAGAGUGGUUGGUUAUAAAGGCCAUACAGCUCAUACACUUUUACUUCGAUCGUUCUUGAAUUAAUUACCUUAUAAUAAAGUGGUCCUUAUAAUUCAUCAAUCAUCUAUGGAACCAAUCAAAAUUGAAUAUCGUUGUCACUAUUAAUGUGCCUAUGUGUCUCCGUAUACGCCCACUGCUUCCACUAUGAUAGAAAGAUUUAGUAACUCCUAGAAAAAAAACAUGAUGCUUUCUUUUAAGAUAUGUCACACUUAGAUGGAUAUAUAGUCAUUUAAGGAGUAAUCUUCUAUUUUCUUUAAGGGAGGAUGGGUACUCAUUCACCUUUAUUUUGUAUUCUGCUUAUUAGUAGUAUUCAACUUGAUGACUUGAACAGAAUUAAUUAAUUGUUAGUCAAUUUUUGAAAGCCCUUUUAGGUUUUAAAUGAUAUAUAUGGGUGUUUGACUAUUUAUUUAGAGUAUUACUAUAUAUCAUAUAUCAUGAUUUUUGAGAAUUGAUGUUUUAAAAAGUGACAUCCAUUGCUCAAUCGAUGGGAGGAACCAAGAAAAAUAGGUAGGGGCGGAAAUUUAACCUAAUAAAUAAAAUUAUUGAUGAUUAAUUGAGAUAUGUAUGAACUAUGAAGCACAAAAAAUUUAAAGACACGACUUCCAUAUCAAAUAUACGACUUUGUUAAGUAACUAUUUUGUUUCUUGAGAGAUAAUUUCAGUUCAUAUGUGUUACGAGAUAAUUUCAAUGAAAAAAUGAACUUUAAUACAACAAACACAAAAGUAACCCCUUACUUUUGUUAGGUUAAAUGUGCUUUUAAGUUGAUCUCAACUUGAAUCCAAACACAUCUUCAAUGUUAGUUCUUAUUGUUUUUUCUUUCGUCGUUUCAGUUAGAUACAAGUGAAUGAAUGUGUGCUGAAUUUAGAAAAUAGCAUGGUUAAUUUGCAUAUAAUUUUGAGUGAGAAUGCUAUUUCCCAAUAUUACCAAUUUUGAUGCUUCUAUAUUAUAUUUACUUAAUUAUCUUCAAUUAUAUCCAUCUUAAUAAGGACCUGUACUCCACACAGUAGACAUAAGCAUAGUCCUAACUUAAUGCUUCCAAACAUGGCACAUUGAAUCCUGAAUUGCACCACUAACAGUACUAUCUAGUAUCUAAGCAACUUGAGCUUUACAAGGGUGUUUUAAAUCCUGGAAAUAGGACCUGAACUAUUUAACAAAUAUACAGCAAAACAAUAGAUCAGUAGUUUUAAAUUUAGGCCACUCUACCAUUUUGCAAGGUGUAGUACUACUGCAUUAAAUUGAACAAUUCAUACCAAGUCACCAACAAUAGCAGCUCAUGAAAGAACAUAAUUAAUGCAUCUCUCUAACUACUAUAUGGUAGAACAGAGCUUAUAGGAUUCCUUUUAAACAAGCAGUUGAUUUUGAAACUCAACUAAAUAAUUGAUGUGUAAAUGGUAAACCCCUCGACAGUUGAUGUAAUCAAAACCAUAGAUCAGAAAGAGUAACAAGUCUAGCGUCAAGCCAAUCAUAGGAACAUUUUUUUGGUUGAAAUCAAAUCAUCAUUGCAACAUUAAAAGACUGCUUUUGGUUAAACCAGAAGACUAAUUUGAUAAUUUAACAUUUGAAGACUUCAGUAACAAAGAUUUCUCCAACAACUGCCAUUAUUGAUGGAAAUUAAUGGUUUAUAUAUCAGAAUGAGUACCAUUAUGCAUAUACUCAAUGCUCUUUUAUAUGAAUAAUUUUUUUGAAAAAGUUGCACAAAUAAAUACGAUUGAUUGAAAGAAUGAAAGCAGAGCAUACAAUCCUAAGAAACAACUUUUACAUUGACCUUGCCAUUUGCUCUUAGGUACUUCUACUUUUUAGUUUUUAUACUUCCUUUCAUAACAAUUUCUUCUAGGGGUUCUCUUAAUCAACCAAAAUAAAUAUGAGGUAAAAUCAUUUUAGUAUUAGGUGUUCAAGUAAUAUUUUGACAUGUGUUAUCAACUGGAAUUUCUUAAAGCGCAUAUCAAAAUUUUACUAAAUUCAAAAGUAGGUAGAAGGAGAAAAUGUAGCAAGUGACUGAUUUGGUAAAUUAUUAAGAACAUAGAUCAUAAAGCUUGACCAUCGUCGCAAGUGGUGGUGUGGAGCCAUGACCACAACCGCGAAAGGUGGUUUUAGGGUUUAGGUAAGAGGAAGAGAAAGAGGAAGAAGAAGAAUGAGAAGAGAAUGAUUCCAAACUGAUGGAAAAAGUUAAAGGAAUCAAAGUUGAUUAUAUUUUUUUUUAUCAAACCGAUAUUAAAAAGUCUAUGUGGACACUUCUUUAUUUGACGAAGAUUAAUUAACUUACCACGUGAGAUGAGACGGAGAAAAAAACCAUCCAGCUGAAAAUUAAAACAUCAUUAAGGACUUUUUUGUAUAACUUUUUUUAAGGGACUAAAAGUGAUGUAAAAGUUUUUUUUUUUUUUUGACCAAAACCGAGUUAAAAACAUAUUUAACCCAUUCAUAUACAUUAAAUUUCAAACAAAUUGUACUAUGUCGGUAACAGGACACAAAAUGCCAACGUGUUUCAUAAUUGAACUUGAGUGGUAAAAUAAUGCCCGUGCAUCAGAAGCAUGCAUGACACGAAAUUGCCUUUUUUUCCUUUUGUAGCAAAAAAUUAAAGAGCCUCGUGUCCAGUCUUUACACAUUAUAUCAGAUCAAGCGUGACAUUGUUAGAUUCAUGCAUUGCAUACUAUACAGUAUACACUGUCCUGCAUUACCCUGCUGAUUUGACCUCAAUUUUCACUGCAUGCAACUACCAUGUCUGUAGUAGUGUACUGCCAUAUGCAUUUUUCUGUGUGGGCCAUUCAACAGGUUCUGUUUCAAAAAUCAUAGAAUCUUCAUACUAUAUAACACCCCUUCCCAAUUCCUCUGACAUAUCAAUUAAAGUUGUUUAUUUGCAGAGUUCAAAGAACCUUUUGAACUCUGUACUUCAUUUUUCCUCUACAACUCCUCUGUCUCUUUAGUAUCCAUGGCUAGUUUGGCAUGUUACAUUGUUUUAGUGGUGGCACUAGCGAGUGGUUUCAGAGGUGCAGAGGCAGCACGUGCUUUCUUUGUGUUUGGAGAUUCACUUGUUGAUAAUGGCAACAACAACUACUUGGCAACUACUGCAAGAGCUGAUUCUCCUCCUUAUGGCAUUGAUACCCCAAAUGGCAGACCCACUGGCCGUUUCUCCAAUGGCCGCAACAUUCCUGAUUUUAUCAGUUCAGUCAAUUAACUUCUUUUAAUUCUUGCACUUUAACAUUUUUAAUAUGUUUGGUUCCACCGUGACAUGCUCAAAUUCCAUGCAUUCAGGAAAAUUGAAAUUCUGAAUUCAAUGAAGUCAGAGAACCUUAAUUGUUUGAUCUUGAUCCGACGUCUCUAAGUUAAAUAAGUUCUAUUUAAAUUGGAGUCGUCUGAUAAUCAGACGGUCAAACAUGUCUAACUUCAGUGAAUGCAUGAAUCUUUGAAUUUAGGGAAUCCGAAUUCAAAAUGCUCUAGCAUCAUUUAACUUCUAAGCCUUAAAUUCUGCAUAAAUUGUGAAACCAAACACGCCAUUGUUACAUGUGUUUGCUUUGGAAGGUAUGAGUAUAAUGUAGUUGAUUACUCAUAUUUCUAUAUUUGUGUGAUUUUGUAGGUGAACAACUUGGGGCAGAACCCACUUUGCCUUAUUUGAGCCCUGAACUCAAUGGGGAUAAUUUGCUUGUUGGAGCCAAUUUUGCCUCUGCUGGCAUUGGAAUUCUCAAUGACACUGGAAUCCAAUUUGUAAGUGAAAUUGAAGAUCAAGAUUAAUAGCAUGUUUGGAUCAGUUUACUUUAUCUUAGAAUCAAUUUUGACAGUUCGAAGCUACUCACAUGAACUUCUCCUCGUACAAUAGUACCAUUUGGUUCCACAAACAAAAUAUUGGUUGUUGGAUGAUUAUAUGUGUAUUAUAAUUUGUUGCAAUGCAAUUGCAGAUUAACAUAAUCAGAAUAUUCAGACAGUUGGAGUACUUCGAUGAAUAUCAGCAGAGGGUGAGUGCUCUAAUUGGACCUGAAGAAACUCAGCGCUUAGUAAAUGGAGCACUGGUCCUCAUCACUCUUGGAGGCAACGAUUUUGUGAAUAACUAUUACUUGGUGCCUUUCUCGGCAAGAUCUCGCCAGUACUCUUUACCGGAUUACGUGAGGUACUUGAUCUCCGAGUACAAGAAAGUUCUCAGGGUAAAGUCUUCACCUGCUCAUAUUAGCUUAUAAAUAAACGCUUAUAUAUAAAAUUUAUUUUAUAUAUUUUAUAUAUAUUUCAAUAAGUUUCUCAAAUUAACUUAACUGCAGAGCCUGUAUGAUAGAGGAGCACGAAGGGUCCUGGUGACAGGAACGGGUCCAUUGGGCUGUGUUCCGGCAGAAUUGGCAAUGCGAAGCCGAAACGGUGAAUGCUCUCAGGAGCUGCAGCGUGCGGCAGCAUUGUUCAACCCUCAACUUGUUCAGAUUCUGCAACAACUUAAUAGCGAAAUUGGUUCAAAUGUCUUUAUUGGAGCCAACACAAGACAAAUGAACAAUGACUUCAUCAGUAACCCUGGAGCUUUUGGUAACUAUUAAAAUACAAACAUUACCUUCUACAAAAUUAUCACUGCCUCUUAUAUAGUAUACGGCAUAAAUAUACAGUACAUAUUUGACAUUAUUGAGCAUUAGAGUAUGAAUACAAAUACUAACUGAGGUUCCUAAGGUUUUUCUUGUGACAGUACUUGUUGGAGGCAGGGCCUAUGGGGAAAUCAUUUUUUCCCUUUCCUUCUUUUUAAUGUCUCUAAAUAGUAAAUACAUAAUGUCACUGUCAGUAGGUCUCAAUUCUUAAAUGAUAACUAGAUAUUUUUAUGAAAUUUUAGAAAAUAUAAGCAUUUCCUUCUCUUUUUCUUUUUCUUUCUGUAAAGUUCAAAUGAUCACCACAUAUCAUAACAUGAUCGACAGACAUAUCAUUUUUGGCGACAUCUUUCAAACAUGCAUUUUUGCGACAAUUUUUAUGAUUUUAUCCCCACAAAAUAUUGUGAAGAUUAAAAACCGCAAUAAAUGAGUAUCUCUGAAGGGUAUCACCGUAUAUGUGUAUGUAUAAUCAUUCUUCCUCUAGCAUCUAAAUCUAAAUGAAGACAAACAAUUAGAUAUGGCAUAAAUGAUUGAUGAUAGUACUAUACUAAAGCAGUUGAUGUUUUGGUGAUGCAGGAUUUGUUACAUCAAAAGUAGCAUGCUGUGGUCAAGGACCUUAUAAUGGUCUUGGACUGUGCACUACAGCAUCCAACUUGUGCCCAGACCGUGAUGUUUAUGCAUUUUGGGAUCCCUUCCAUCCAUCAGAAAGGGCCAACAGCUUCAUUGUUCAACAGAUCAUGUCAGGCAACACAGAGUACAUGUAUCCAAUGAACCUCAGCACCGUUUUGGCCAUUGAUGCAGCCAACAACUAGCUAAUCCUGCUGCAGAAACUGCAUCAUCUCAUUUUAGUAUUGCAAUUAAUGCAACUUUUGUGUUUGUGAUAAUGUCUUGAAGAUUUAUUUGGAGUCACUGUACUCUUCAAGCUGUUAAUUAGUAUUUAGGAGUGUGAUUGUUUGCGAAAUUGUCUCGAACUUGUGGGUUACUAUGUGGUAUUGAGUGAGUGAGGAUAGUUAAGCACCGUCUUUGUUCUCAUUCUCUUUGGCAGAACAGAAAAGCUGCAUAAUAAUUAUUGAUAAUUAAGUGAUUUUUUGUGUUCAAAUAGUUUCCUCUUUUCCUCUCUAGUAUUAAGUAACAAUGCAACCUUGCAGUUGAAUUAUGAGGCAUCAUUUGGCUUUAUCUCUAAUGGAAAAGGUCAUUGCCUAAUCACAUAUCUUGCAAAUGAUGGCACAAAUUAGGUUCAAGUCAAUUAAGCCAUACCCCUAAGUCAAAGACUCAAAGCAACUUUAUGAUCAAAUUAGAGACGACAAAACCCUAAUUAUCAUGAAGCACAGAGAAAUUUAAUCACAAAUAACAUAAUCAACAAAAAAAUAUGUAAUCAUAUAAAUACAAAACUAAGAUUCUGAUCGCAUAGUCUCGAAGAUUCCAUACCCAGUCACCCAAGCUUGGCAUGAUGAAUGAGCUUUCCAAACAUAACCCUAAAACCGACUCGGGGGCGGAACCCACAAGGACAAAGAGCAUGACGAAACGUACCACAACCAUAAAUGGCGCCACCUUCCUGAUAUCAUAAAUGGUCAUUGCCUUAAUACCAUGAUUAAGGUCCUUAGAGUAACAACCCAUAAUGUUAAUCACAUGGGGGAACCAAAUAACGCUAAACCUCUAAUAAGGGACCUCCCCAAAAGAGAUAGACAUCUUCUUUCACAAACGAAUUUUGGAACCUAAGUUGAGUACUUCUUUCAUUUGAUAAAAUACCCAUAAUUUAAGGAAAACAAAAAUUAAAGUAAAAAUAAUGGAAAAGAAAUAAUAAAAGGAGAGUAAAUGAUCUAAAUCAUGAGUCUAGGUGAAAAACAAACAAAACAACAACGCCAGCAAGUCUAAGCAUAGGAAAAAAUAUUACAUAAAAAGGGGAAAACUUCUAAAUACGCAUAAGAGACUUCUCGCGUGAAGCUUGUCGAGUUAAAAAUUCUUGUAUCCAAGUUGACCGUGAAGUUUCAAAAUAAAAAAUUAUUAAGUCUGGUUUACAUGUAGCUUUUCUAAAAAAGUAAAAAUUGUUUUGACCCUAAACAUGUCAAUUUUCUCUACCCUCUGCCCUUUAUAAAAAAAGGUAGCCCCAAGGUAUUCUUACCGCUGGUAGCUAUGAGACUAAUCCCUCGAGGCUCUAAGAUCAUGUUAACUAUUAAGUGAGUAGGCAUCUCCCAACAAAUGUUUUUCCAUACGCCAAGUAUUUCUUUCAUUCAUUUCCUUCCUUUCAGCCUUUUGCCCUAGCAUGAAAUUAACAAGGACACGAACAUAUUUUUAGUUUUUCAGUAUUAGUAAUUAGAAGAGAACGUAUAAAUGUAUAUAUUUUAUACUCGUGACUAGUGUAAUGCAAUCCAUCACCUGUGAAAUGACUAUAUUGGUUGAAUAGUAAAAGCAUGAAGCAUCAAACACAGGGAAACACACUUCUUUUCACUUUUUGCUUCUUUUUUCUAAUUCUACUAAUGCAUUUGGGCGGUGACAUAAUUUCCUGUAGCAUCUUCACUACCUAAGUUGUCUCUUUAAGAUACACUCCUCACAUGUCAUGCACUUUUAGAACUAGAAAACCUGAGUCGAAUCAAAUCCCAUUAAAGUCUCCCUAGAGUUUAUGCAAGGAGAUAGUACUCCCCCAACCAAGUAUAGUAGCAAGUGAUAUCUGCCAGAAAUAGUUCUUUACUUUUUCCUUUUUUGUUUUUAAGGAAAAAUUAAAAAAGUAGUGAAAACCAGCUAUAAAAAGCCUUGAAUUCAUGAAUGAUGUAUCCACAUACACAUUGUUGUUGAAAGCUUGUUUUCAACUUCCUCAAUGACAUUGCCAUUUCCCUCAAGUUUUGUUCCCUUGGUGAUUAUACUUUUAGUAGUAGUAGGGGUCAUUUUCCCAGGAGCUGAGGCCAAGUCCAAGUCGUCCAAGCCUAAGCCCAAGCCCAGCAGGGCUUUCUUUGUGUUUGGAGACUCACUUGUUGACAGUGGCAACAACAAUUACUUGGCCACCACUGCAAGGGCUGAUUCCCCUCCUUAUGGAAUUGACUACCCAACUCGCAGGCCCACGGGUCGUUUCUCCAAUGGCCUCAACAUUCCUGAUCUUAUUAGUUAAGUAUCAUUCUCCAUCAACUAACUAUUUAUGAUUUUUUUUUAUCAAGUGAAUUGGUUAAAUUGGUUCUGAAAGUGAUUGACACGGCAAGUUCAUCUAUGGACUUAGGAAAUACAACACAUGGCCCCUGAUUGUGGUCAGAUAAAACAUCGAUUAAGUUAGUCCCCACAUUUUAUACAAUUAGGGACCCCAAAUAUAGUAAUUAUUUCUUCAAGUGACGAACUUACCGACAUCCAACACUUUCAUGAAUCAAUUUAGCUAUUCACUCUUUUUUUUAUCACUUGUUUGAGAUUAGUUUCAUUCUCAAGCUUCACUUCCAUAUCAUCCAAUAGGGACAUACUUUUGGAUGAUAAUAUAGACAUUUGGAUGUCAUAGAAGAGAAUUGAUUUCAACUCAAAAUAAUUUUUGUGUAGAAGUUAAGUAGAAUAGGUUUUGAGUUGAACAUAUAUAGUCAAUCUUAAUUUCACUACAUUACCUUGAAAAAUAUUUUUUUUCUUAAAAGUAUUCAAACAUAAAUCACUUCACUUUAAGUUUAUUUCAGUUCAACUCACCUUUACCACAAUCAAUUUUACCAAAAUCAACUUUAUUUAAAAUCAAUUGUGACAACACUGAUCGAAACAAACACUUAGUGCAUGUCUUGAAAUUCUUCUAUAAUUGUUUAUAAAGUCAGAAUCAAUUAUUAAAAGAAGCUUUGUGUUUCAUAAUUGAUUCUAAGAAAAAAAAACACAUGCAAUUGUACAUGUAGACAUGACAUUUGUGUAUUGCAUCUAAUUAUUGUUAACUAGCUGCUUUGAUUAUUAUCAGGCCAACAACUAGGUGCUGAGUCUGUCCUGCCAUACUUGAGUCCACAACUGAGAGGUAACAAGCUUCUACUUGGAGCCAAUUUUGCUUCAGCUGGAAUUGGCAUUCUUAACGACACCGGAACUCAGUUUGUAAGUACAAUAAAAUGCAUACCACCAUAUAUGAUCCACACUGCAAGCUAGUAUAAUGCAUAUAUAAUCACCUUUUUUUGUUUGUUUAAUUAAUUUUCUUCAUUUAAAAUAUGCUGGUUAAUUAGCAAUUGUGGCUUAAUAAUUUGCAGCUAAAUAUAAUCAGAAUGUAUAGACAAUUGGACUAUUUUGAAGAGUAUCAGCAUCGACUGGCCUCUCAAAUUGGAGUAACAAAGACCAAGGCACUGGUGGAUAAAGCAUUGGUCCUUAUCACUGUUGGUGGAAACGAUUUUGUUAACAACUACUACUUGGUGCCUUAUUCUGCAAGGUCUCGCCAGUAUUCACUACCAGAUUAUGUUAAAUUUCUCAUUAUAGAGUUCCGUAAACUCUUGCAGGUAAUUAUCAAGUCUUAUUACAUAACCUUUUUGAGCACAAAGAAUAAUAAUAUAUAGUAACUUUUCUAGCUGAAUGAACUUCACUUAUGUGGUCUUGCUUCUUUGUGUGACCAUUUAAUGCAGAGAUUAUAUGAUUUAGGAGCUCGCAGAGUUAUUGUGACUGGCACUGGACCAUUGGGUUGUGUUCCUGCAGAAUUGGCAAUGAGAGGAACAAAUGGAGGAUGUUCUGCUGAACUUCAACGAGCUGCAGCAUUGUACAACCCUCAACUACUGCACAUGAUACAAGCUCUAAACAAGAAAUUUGGCAGAGAGGUUUUUGUUGCAGCAAACACAGGACAAAUGCAUAACGAUUUCAUCACUAACCCCAAAGCAUAUGGUAGUACUCUAACUUCUAUAUAUACCAACUUCUUAGUGUAUAGUCAUUUUGGCCUUUAAAGAUAUGAGUUCCGUCAACGUAAUUCUUGAAAGAUUGAAAAAAGAAGAAUAGUUACGAAAAGACUGACCAUUUAAUCAUUGAAAGAUGAAAAUCACAAUCUAAAAAAUGACGGUUCAUUUUAGUCUCUGAAAGACUAAAUUGAAAUUUAGUUUCAUCUUUCAAUGACUAUUUUAUCUAUUUCUUUAGCAGAGGGCAAAGGUGACCGAACUGAUAUAUUUCUAGGACUAAAUGACUACAAUUCUAAGCAAACAAUUUAAAGCACCAACUAACAAGUAUAUAAAUAUGUGAUUGUUUGUUGGGCAGGAUUUACUACAUCAGAAAUUGCUUGUUGUGGGCAAGGACCCUACAAUGGGAUUGGGCUGUGCACACC
rnacentral:lncRNA from 1 species